rnacentral:rRNA from 1 species
CCUACGGGUGGCAGCAGUGAGGAAUAUUGGUCAAUGGGCGAGAGCCUGAACCAGCCAAGUCGCGUGAGGGAGUACUGCCCUAUGGGUUGUAAACCUCUUUUGUCGGGGAGCAAAAGCCGGACGUUUCCGGCUGUGAGAGUACCCGAAGAAAAAGCAUCGGCUAACUCCGUGCCAGCAGCCGCGGUAAUACGGAGGAUGCGAGCGUUAUCCGGAUUUAUUGGGUUUAAGGGGUGCGCAGGCGGAUUUUUAAGUCAGCGGUAAAAUCGUGGGGCUCAACCCCAUCCAGCCGUUGAAACUGGGGAUCUAGAGUGUGCGAGAGGUAUGCGGAAUGCGAGGUGUAGCGGUGAAAUGCAUAGAUAUCACGCAGAACCCCGAUUGCGAAGGCAGCAUACCGGUGCACAACUGACGCUCAGGCACGAAAGCGUGGGUAUCGAACAGGAUUAGAUACCCUAGUAGUC